ACAGAGGGUGCAAACGUUGUUCGGAAAUACUGGGCGUAAAGGGCGCGUAGGCGGCCUUCUAAGUCGAACGUGAAAUCCCUGGGCUCAACCCAGGAACUGCGUCCGAUACUGGAAGGCUUGAAUCCGGGAGAGGGAUGCGGAAUUCCAGGUGUAGCGGGGAAAUGCGUAGAUAUCUGGAGGAACACCGGUGGCGAAGGCGGCAUCCUGGACAGGAAUUGACGCU
rnacentral:rRNA from 1 species